UCCGGGCUAUAUCGAAGCUGUGAUUUAUGUUUCUAUGAUAAAUUGUAGUCAAAAGUUAGCCCAUAGCAAUGUAUCUGUUUUUAAGGUCACUGAUGAGCCACAAAUGCUUAAUUCAGUAUUACCCAAUCAGAGAACAAUA